rnacentral:lncRNA from 1 species
UUGAGAGCAAUUGCAAGUAAAGCGAUUUGCGAUAUUUGAGAGAGCUUACACUUGAGUGUUCUAGUGAGGAUACAAUUGGGUGUAUUGGGGUUCUGAGUUUUGGAUUUUGAGAGCUUUUUUCACUUUUGUAAAUUCUCAUUUAUUAGUAAAAUUAUCUUCCAGUCUUCGCCCGUGGACGUAGGCUUUACGCCAAACCAUGUAAAAUUAUUGUGUCUUUUUUUUUGUAUUUGCUUACACCACAUUUAUAUUUCUCCAGAAGUUACAGUCACUGCAAUAUUGACAAUUGCUCAACCUCGCGCUUCCACAACAAAUAGAGUUAAAGGAUAUUUUAGUUAAAAGAGGUUCUUGGUGUCUAUUAUUAAAAAUAUAGGGUCUACAUAACCAUUUCUCUAAAAUUUGAAAGUGUAAG